rnacentral:antisense_RNA from 1 species
CUAAUCAAUCCAAAAGGAAAAAGAAAAGAGAGGGGUGGGAAGGCAUGGGGUGAAAAAAUUCAGGUGACACAAAGCAAAAAGAUUCCAGUCACCAAAAACAAAUACAAAAAAAAAUCUUUUGCCCCCAGCAAGAAUCAUUUGUUUGGGAUCUGUUCCAGCCUCCAGGCCCUGCCUUCUGCCUGCACAUUCUGCCCUGAUUUCCGGAACCUGGAAGCCUAGGCAGGCAGUGGGGAACUCUGACUCGCCUGUGCUCUGGAGCUUGAUCCGAAAGCUUCCACAGUGAGGACUGCUCCGUGGGGUCCUGCUCCGCUUCGCAGUGGAAUGGAACGGAUUUAGAAGCCUGCAGUAGGGGAGUGGGGAGUGGAGAGAGGGAGCCCAGAGUUACAGACUGCGGCGAGAGGAGGGGCGUCUUUAUUUUUUUAAGGCCCCAAAGAGUCUGAUGUUUACAAGACCAGAAAUGCCACGGCCGCGUCCUGGCAGAGAAAAGGCUGAAAUGGAGGACCGGCGCCUUCCUUAUAAGCUCGUUGGGGCCUAAGCCAGUACCGACCUGGUAGAAAAAG